GAGAGCGAGAGAAGAGGCAGAGAAAAGGAACAUAAUCACAAACAGUAUGCGAGAAGAUCCUGAUUCUUUUUUUUUUUAUUUACUGCCUCUCCGCAUCAUUUUGGAGGGAAAUUGGCGAAAUGAACCUUUAAUAUUUUGAGAUCAUGUUUGAAAUUACACUUGGAUGUACUAGCAAGUGAGGCCACUCAGCGUGGAGCAGAAGAGGGGAAGAGAGCGCGCGCGUGCAGGGGGAAUCCCUCUGCGUGAUGGAUUUUUUUCACAAGGAUUAACUUGGCGUGGACGGGAUGAGAUUUUGUCCCACCUUUCGUCACUCUACGUGAACUUUCCCGUGACCCGGGCUGAAGAGAUUCAAGUGCGGACUGGGACGAAAAGCAAACUCCGUCUGUUAUACAGCAUUUUUGUCCCAUUUUAGCAGCUAGCUUCGUGAACAUUACUGUAUAUCUUAUUGGGGAGGUGUUUUUUGAGUUAAGCUAAGCUUCUUAUCAUGUCAGCAAGGGUGGGUUCAAAGAUCCCUUGGACGAUGGCCAGAAGAACAAGAAGCAUAUCUUUGCGCAAUGUUGACAUGCGGCUCUUAACAGGCAGCUAAAGUGAAGAUAGUCCACUCUGCAAGCACUCCGGGUCAACAUCAGGAAUAAUUGAAUUUCUGUUUUUUUUUCUUCUUCAUAAUAAAGUUGAUUUGUAGCGCUGGA